AGCUGGGGGUGGCCGCAGAGACCAGCGAGAAGCGACUGUUUACUAAAAACACAGGUCCGUGCGAAGCUGUAAGGCGAUGUAUACGGACUGACGCCUGCCCGGUGCUGGAACGUUAAGGGGACCGGUUAGUCAUCUUCGGGUGGCGAAGCUGAGAACUUAAGCGCCAGUAAACGGCGGUGGUAACUAUAACCAUCCUAAGGUAGCGAAAUUCCUUGUCGGGUAAGUUCCGACCUGCACGAAUGGCGUAACGACUUCUCGACUGUCUCAACCAUAGGCCCGGUGAAAUUGCAUUACGAGUAAAGAUGCUCGUUUCGCGCAGCAGGACGGAAAGACCCCGGGACCUUUACUAUAGCUUGAUAUUGGUGUUCGGUUCGGCUUGUGUAGGAUAGGUGGGAGACUGUGAAGCGGCCACGCCAGUGGUUGUGGAGUCGUCGUUGAAAUACCACUCUGGUCGUGUUGGAUGUCUAACCUGGGUCCGUGAUCCGGAUCGGGGACAGUGUCUGGUGGGUAGUUUAACUGGGGCGGUUGCCUCCUAAAGAGUAACGGAGGCGCCCAAAGGUUCCCUCAGCCUGGUUGGUCAUCAGGUGGUGAGUGUAAGUGCACAAGGGAGCUUGACUGCGAGACUGACGGGUCGAGCAGGUGCGAAAGCAGGGACUAGUGAUCCGGCGGUGGCUUGUGGGAGCGCCGUCGCUCAACGGAUAAAAGGUACCCCGGGGAUAACAGGCUGAUCUUCCCCAAGAGUCCAUAUCGACGGGAUGGUUUGGCACCUCGAUGUCGGCUCGUCGCAUCCUGGGGCUGGAGUCGGUCCCAAGGGUUGGGCUGUUCGCCCAUUAAAGCGGCACGCGAGCUGGGUUUAGAACGUCGUGAGACAGUUCGGUCCCUAUCCGCUGCGCGCGUAGGAGUCUUGAGAAGGGCUGUCCCUAGUACGAGAGGACCGGGACGGACGGACCUCUGGUGUGCCAGUUGUUCUGCCAAGGGCAUGGCUGGUUGGCUACGUUCGGGAGGGAUAACCGCUGAAAGCAUCUAAGCGGGAAGCCUGCUUCGAGAUGAGGACUCCCACCCCCUUUGAGGGGUUAAGGCCCCCUGUAGACGACGGGGUUGAUAGGCCGGAUCUGGAAGCCCUGUGAGGGGUGGAGGUGACCGGUACUAAUAGGCCGAGGGCUUGUCCA
rnacentral:rRNA from 1 species